AAAUGGGUUAACCCAUCAAAUUAAAUGAGUUAUGGGUUGACCCAACUCAUUAUGUUAAAUAGGUUGGGUCAACCCAUAACUUAUUUAAUUCUAAACUCAUUUAAUUAUGAGU
rnacentral:pre_miRNA from 14 species